rnacentral:tRNA from 1 species
CGUUCUAUGGCCGAAUUGGUAAAGGCAUCGCCGAUCACAGGCGAUGUAGCGGGUUCGAGUCCCGCUGGAACGA